rnacentral:lncRNA from 1 species
UGAUUACUUAAUGAAUUUAGAUGUUUAUUUUCCACCAUUGAUGUUUCUAUGGAGAUGUAAGUUUUUUAGAAAUGUGUUUUUAUAGCAGUUGCAAGAAUUGCUUAAUUUUAUCAUGUCUCAUUUUUUUGUUUAUUUCUGUGCAGCUGUAUAUUUCUCAACCCCAACUGGACUCAGCUUCAGGAGGUAUUCUUCACUCUGCGGUCGCGAGCAGCUCAACAGUUAUAUAGUUGAAGGAUAAGAUACAAGAUUAUAGAGCUUAUAGAGAGGUGCUGGUUUUAGAAGGCAACGGAAGCCCUAGUUUUUUUUUUUUUGAGUUGGGCUCAAAACAUUAUGUAUGAAUGUUUUGUGAUAUAUAUAAUAUAUGUUAUUGAUGGUUUUAUCAUUUUGUUGUUUUAAGUUUAUUUAUUCAUUUUUUUAGAUAAAUAACAGAAAAAUUGAGAAAAAGUAUUAAAAAUAUGCUAAAAGCUAUAGUUGGCAUACAUAACGGUAAAGAACUGUUAUGUAUUAUGACAAAGAUAACGGUUAAAACCGUUAUGUAUAAUACUAU